rnacentral:tRNA from 1 species
UCCCUGGUGGCUCAGUAGUAAAGAAUCUGCCUGCCAUGCAGGAGAUGCAUGUUCAACCCGUGCAUUGGGAA